rnacentral:lncRNA from 1 species
CUAGAGCUUUCAUGUGUGCUGUCAAGCUGCUAGUGUAUGCUCUUUCCGGUUUCUUUUUGGAGGGACUCCGAACUGUGAAUUUUCCUCUCAGCACCGCUUCCUUGUGUCCCAUAAGUUUGGGUACUUUUCAGCUCCUGCCAUCCAGGCUCUGGCGUGGUAUCACCCAAACAGGGACCUAAGAAUUGGGGAUCAACUGGAGGACACCUUGGAGAAGUGAGCUUAGAAAAGUGAAUCUAAGGAGCAACAUCCAUGGCAGAGAAGCCUUUAUUUCAUUAUGAUGAGGCCCGGGGUAGAAUGGAGUCUGUGCGGUGGCUAUUGGCUGCAGCUGGAGUAGAGUAUGAAGAGAAGUUUAUACACACUAAUGAAGACUUGGAGAAGUUAAGAAGUGGUAAGCCCAAUUAUCUGAAGACCCCUGGUGGGGUUAUCUUCGAAAAGAGCUAAACCCUGGGUCAGGUGCAUGUGUGCGUGUGUGUGUGUGUGCAUGUGUGCGUGUGUGCGUGCGUAGGUGCGUGCAUGCAUAUUGUGGUUCAUGGGGAUGCCAGAGAGGCAUAGAGUAGUUAACCUAUAAAGAAGAAGGGUUCUGGGGCUGGGGAUUUAGCUCAGUGGUAGAGCGCUUACCUAGGAAGCGCAAGGCCCUGGGUUCGGUCCCCAGCUCUGAAAAAAAGAACC